GUUAUAUGGUCAAGUGAAGAAGCGCAUACGGUGGAUGCCUUGGCAGUCAGAGGCGAUGAAAGACGUGGUAGCCUGCGAAAAGCUUCGGGGAGUCGGCAAACAGACUUUGAUCCGGAGAUGUCUGAAUGGGGGAACCCAGCCAUCAUAAGAUGGUUAUCUUGUACUGAAUACAUAGGUGCAAGAAGCGAACCAGGGGAACUGAAACAUCUAAGUACCCUGAGGAAAAGAAAUCAACCGAGAUUCCCUUAGUAGUGGCGAGCGAACGGGGACUAGCCCUUAAGUGGCUUUGAGAUUAGCGGAACGCUCUGGAAAGUGCGGCCAUAGUGGGUGAUAGCCCUGUACGCGAAAAUCUCUUAGUCAUGAAAUCGAGUAGGACGGAGCACGAGAAACUUUGUCUGAAUAUGGGGGGACCAUCCUCCAAGGCUAAAUACUACUGACUGACCGAUAGUGAACUAGUACCGUGAGGGAAAGGCGAAAAGAACCCCGGAGAGGGGAGUGAAAUAGAUCCUGAAACCGUAUGCGUACAAGCAGUGGGAGCCCACUUUGUUGGGUGACUGCGUACCUUUUGUAUAAUGGGUCAGCGACUUAUUUUCAGUGGCGAGCUUAACCGAAUAGGGGAGGCGUAGCGAAAGCGAGUCUUAAUAGGGCGUCUAGUCGCUGGGAAUAGACCCGAAACCGGGCGAUCUAUCCAUGGGCAGGUUGAAGGUUGGGUAACACUAACUGGAGGACCGAACCGACUACCGUUGAAAAGUUAGCGGAUGACCUGUGGAUCGGAGUGAAAGGCUAAUCAAGCUCGGAGAUAGCUGGUUCUCCUCGAAAGCUAUUUAGGUAGCGCCUCAUGUAUCACUGUAGGGGGUAGAGCACUGUUUCGGCUAGGGGGUCAUCCCGACUUACCAAACCGAUGCAAACUCCGAAUACCUACAAGUGCCGAGCAUGGGAGACACACGGCGGGUGCUAACGUCCGUCGUGAAAAGGGAAACAACCCAGACCGUCAGCUAAGGUCCCAAAGUUAUGGUUAAGUGGGAAACGAUGUGGGAAGGCUUAGACAGCUAGGAGGUUGGCUUAGAAGCAGCCACCCUUUAAAGAAAGCGUAAUAGCUCACUAGUCGAGUCGGCCUGCGCGGAAGAUGUAACGGGGCUCAAACCAUACACCGAAGCUACGGGUAUCACGUAAGUGAUGCGGUAGAGGAGCGUUCUGUAAGCCUGUGAAGGUGAGUUGAGAAGCUUGCUGGAGGUAUCAGAAGUGCGAAUGCUGACAUGAGUAACGAUAAUGGGUGUGAAAAACACCCACGCCGAAAGACCAAGGUUUCCUGCGCAACGUUAAUCGACGCAGGGUUAGUCGGUCCCUAAGGCGAGGCUGAAAAGCGUAGUCGAUGGAAAACAGGUUAAUAUUCCUGUACUUCUGGUUAUUGCGAUGGAGGGACGGAGAAGGCUAGGCCAGCUUGGCGUUGGUUGUCCAAGUUUAAGGUGGUAGGCUGGAAUCUUAGGUAAAUCCGGGAUUC
rnacentral:rRNA from 1 species